rnacentral:lncRNA from 1 species
UUAACUUCGAGAGCUGACAACUCCCCGUCACGGCGGCAGCAGCAGCAGCUCCCAGGUGGGCCUGGAGCUGCGCACGGGCUGCAUGUGCGGGCACGCGUGCCGGGGCACUUGGGCAGUGCGUGCACAUGCAGGGGGCACGUGUGUGCACGGGGGGUGCCUCCGAGGGCUCGCCACGCUCCCCAUGCCCCGCAGGGGCUGUGCCACCUCCCAGCGCAGGGACCCCCCCCCCCCCAAAGUGCAUGGAGAGGGGCCAGAGCCGUAAACAAGCCCGGGGCACCGCUGCUUUUCGCGGCUGCUUGGCACCACACAAGUAGGUGUUAUUAAUUAAUUAGGCUGUCUCUGGCCAGGCUCCGAUUUAAUUAACGUCCCCGGCACUGCAGAUGCUGCCCUGCCCCGGGCUGUGGUGCCACGUGAGCCACCGCGCUCCCGCUGCUGCCUCCCCUCCCGUGGGGCUGCCACAGCCGCCUGUUGAGGGCUGGCAUCCAUGGCUCGUGCUGGUUGCCAGAGCUGGGCUCCCUCCGGUCCUUCCCAUCCCCUCGGCUUCCCCCCAUCGCCCUCUCCAUCUCGGCUCGGCUGUGGGGGGUUUGGUUGUGGGGGGUUUGGUUUUGGGGGUUUGGUUGUGGGAGGCUGCUCCCUCCAGUGCUGGGGGGAGCAGGAUGGAGCCUGGAGGCAGAGCUGGGCCGUGCUUGGAGGGGCCAAGCCCCCAUCAUCCUGGUCACAGAGGGGCUUGGGGGAACGCGGCCACACAUGGGGCUGGAUCUAGGGCUGCUGGGACCCCUGGAGGUGGGGGUGCUGCUCAGGGACAGCACAGGACCAGGACCGGGCAGGGGGGAGAGCCCCAGGACAGGACAGGAGGCAUGGGAGGGCUGCGCAGGGAGAGAGUGCGUGCGCACCUCUGUGCCUUGCCGUGCGGCCCGUGUCCUUGUGCACAGGUGUGCGUGCACGCACCUACGUGUGCAUCCCAGGAGCUCAGCCACGACCCACUGCACCGUGAGCCCUCCCGGAGCCUGUCCACACAGCCGAAGCACUCACUGGUGGCUCUGCCAGCGUGGCAGCACUCUGGAGACAGGGGCCGGUGCGCACACACGUGCCAAGAGGCUGUGGCGUUUUUGGAAGCGUGUCCCACCGCAUGCAUGACGUGUGCAGGGCCGGGGGCUGCGUGGGCACGGCGCUGGCUGCGUGCUGGCCCCGUACCCCGCGGCGGCACGACGUGGCGGGGAGCCGGCGAGCCCACGUGGGCGCGCUUGGGCCGCAGUGUGACUGCGCGUGCAACGGGUGUCACGGUGCCUGCGUGGGCGUUGAGCUGCAGGGUGGGGGUGCCACCCCCCGCGGCCCCCAUUGGCGGCUCUCCUCUCGCCCACCCACGCCGUGCCACGGG